rnacentral:rRNA from 1 species
UUAUAUCAGUAAUUAUUUCUUUGAAUGUUCACUUACUACUUGGAUACCCGUAGUAAUUCUAGAGCUAAUACAUGUCAUAAAUUCUCGAUUUGGUAACAAAAAGAGAUGUAUUUAUUAGAUAAAAAAUCAAUGCCUGCAUUUAUGUAGGUUUCAUUGGUGAUUCGUAGUAACUCAACGAAUCGCAUGGCUUUAUGUCGGCGAUAGUUCAUUCAAAUUUCUGCCCUAUCAGCUUUCGUUGGUAGUGUAGUGGACUACCAAGGCGUUAACGGGUGACGGAGAAUUAGGGUUCGAUUCCGGAGAGGGAGCCUGAGAAACGGCUACCACAUCCAAGGAAGGCAGCAGGCGCGCAAAUUACCCAAUCCUGAUACAGGGAGGUAGUGACAAAAAAUAACAAUACCGGGCCUUUCUAGGUCUGGUAAUUGGAAUGAGUACAAUUUAAAUCCCUUAACGAGGAUCCAUCGGAGGG